rnacentral:misc_RNA from 1 species
UAAGAGGCGAAAUGUAAUGUGAAUCGCAACUAACAGUGAAUCAUCAAAUCUUUGAACGCAGGCCGCACCUUGCAGCAUGACACUCGUCAUACUGCAGGGUAUCCACGUGUGAGUGUCAGCCAAAUCUACUUUUGGUUCAUGAGGGGAUCACGAAAGUGACCAACUAAUGAAUACACGAGUGUCUAGCGACAUAUCUUGGAGCCAUUCAUGGCGUCUGGCCUCACAUGUGGAAGGUUACCCGCUGGAUUUAA